UGCCCCAUGGCUGAGUUGGUUACAGCGUCCGACUGUUAGUUUCUUUGAUGUUAUUAUGAUGCAAUCGGAAGGUCGAGAGUUCGAGCCUCUCUGGGGCAG